rnacentral:lncRNA from 1 species
CGGGGGUGGGGGUUGGUGAUGACUGAGCUCCCUGGUCACCCUGGCAGCCUGGAGGCCCCGGCAAGCGCCUGUGACGGGACAGCAACAGGAACUGAUGAAGCGGUGCCCCGUUUGUCCACAGGAAGAGCCCAGCAGCCAUGUGGGCAAUCAGGCUCCACGUAGGGCGGGGCAGGGAGCUGGCUGUCAUGCCGGAAGCCGUCUGCGGCAGAAUGAGGAGGCUUCCCCAAGGCUCCGGCUGUCAUUCAGCACAAAGAAACAAACCAGCCAACCAAGUCCGCAGACUACUCCGUGACCACUGCCCCUCACUUCCCCUGUGGACACACUGCUCCUUCCCGGGGCAAUAACGCCACCCUCGCGGCUCCCAGGUAAUUCCUAAGCCCGGAGAGAAACUGCGCUGGGCGUGGGUCAGCGCUCGGC